UACAGAGGUCUCAAGCGUUGUUCGGAUUCAUUGGGCGUAAAGGGUGCGUAGGCGGCGCGGUAAGUCGGGUGUGAAAGCCCACGGCUCAACCGUGGAAGUGCAUCCGAAACUGCAUGGCUGGAGUCUCGGAGAGGAAGGUGGAAUGCUUGGUGUAGAGGUGAAAUUCGUAGAUAUCAAGCAGAACACCUGCGGCGAAGGCGGCCUUCUGGACGAUGACUGACGCUGAGACGCGAAAGCGUGGGGAGCAAACAGG
rnacentral:rRNA from 1 species